ensembl:lncRNA
GAGAAAUCAGGAAGGGGACUGACAGCUCCUGUUUUAAUAAGGUGAUGCCCCUUGGAACGCUCUUGGCAGUUGGCUUCAUUUACAGUGACGUCUAGUCUUUUCAACAUGGUUUUCAUCUUUACUGCUCCGAGGCAUGUCUUCCUUCUGUAAAGCCUUCCAUCUUUAAUCCACCAAAGUGGGGAAAACGUGAUGUUGAAAUACAGUUGAAGCAAAGCAGCAGCUGAACCUCUGCAUUUGUUCUGCACUGAUGGGUGAGGGGCUGCUCUGUGUAGUCAUUCAGCAUCAGGAAUUGCCAUUGUUCGCUUGCUUUCUGAGGAGAGAAUUACUUCUUCAAAGGGAUGCUCAGUGCCCAGAAGAGGAGGACAGUCUCUGGGAGAGACAUUUUACUGCUGCUGCAGUUCAAGAUGGAAUGGCAGCAAGCAGACUGCUUGCUGCAGUAGAAGUCCUGCAUAAACCUCUGAGGCAGCUCAGAACACCAUGUGCAAGAAUCCAGGUGCCCAUCUGUAACCCUCGACACCUACAUGUUUUAAAAGCAUGACUCAAGUGUCUUCUGGGAGGAGGAUUUAGGCCCUUGGUCACUGCUGUAUACCCUGAACUUUGCAGUGCUCUGGCUUGGUGCAGGGAUGAGCAAUCACAUGCGCUCUGUAAGGAACUGUUGCUCUUUGGUAAUAUUUCUUCAGGUUAAGCAUGACAAUCUCUCAUCAUUGGUGUAUAUGAUGUGAAGAGCCUCUUUCUCCAUCAUUUCAGAUUAUCUUGUUAGUGGGAUGUAUGUUACAUCAAUUUUGUGUGCCUAAUAAUUUCUACAUUGGAGAAGGUGACUGCUUACAGACAUUUGCUAUCCAAUUUAACUGCAUUCUUAUUUAACGUUGUUGAUGUCUCAGGUGACUGCUCCAUGGGAGCAUAGGAGAUGUUUCACCUCUUUGUCUAUGUGUGUUUACUGCUUGUACUGCUGAAAAUCCCAUUCAGACUGGUGAUUAAAGGAGUCCAACUAAAUGUCAUCUAAAG